CUCGGGUGAAGGAACUAGGCAAAAUGGCACCGUAACUUCGGGAGAAGGUGCGCCGGCUAGGGUGAAGGAUUUACUCCGUAAGCUCUGGCUGGUCGAAGAUACCAGGCCGCUGCGACUGUUUAUUAAAAACACAGCACUCUGCAAACACGAAAGUGGACGUAUAGGGUGUGACGCCUGCCCGGUGCCGGAAGGUUAAUUGAUGGGGUUAGCGCAAGCGAAGCUCUUGAUCGAAGCCCCGGUAAACGGCGGCCGUAACUAUAACGGUCCUAAGGUAGCGAAAUUCCUUGUCGGGUAAGUUCCGACCUGCACGAAUGGCGUAACGAUGGCGGCGCUGUCUCCACCCGAGACUCAGUGAAAUUGAAAUCGCUGUGAAGAUGCAGUGUAUCCGCGGCUAGACGGAAAGACCCCGUGAACCUUUACUGUAGCUUUGCACUGGACUUUGAGCCUGCUUGUGUAGGAUAGGUGGGAGGCUUUGAAGCGUGGACGCCAGUUCGCGUGGAGCCAUCCUUGAAAUACCACCCUGGCAUGCUUGAGGUUCUAACUCUGGUCCGUAAUCCGGAUCGAGGACAGUGUAUGGUGGGCAGUUUGACUGGGGCGGUCUCCUCCUAAAGAGUAACGGAGGAGUACGAAGGUGCGCUCAGACCGGUCGGAAAUCGGUCGCAGAGUAUAAAGGCAAAAGCGCGCUUGACUGCGAGACAGACACGUCGAGCAGGUACGAAAGUAGGUCUUAGUGAUCCGGUGGUUCUGUAUGGAAGGGCCAUCGCUCAACGGAUAAAAGGUACUCCGGGGAUAACAGGCUGAUACCGCCCAAGAGUUCAUAUCGACGGCGGUGUUUGGCACCUCGAUGUCGGCUCAUCACAUCCUGGGGCUGAAGCCGGUCCCAAGGGUAUGGCUGUUCGCCAUUUAAAGUGGUACGCGAGCUGGGUUUAGAACGUCGUGAGACAGUUCGGUCCCUAUCUGCCGUGGACGUUUGAGAUUUGAGAGGGGCUGCUCCUAGUACGAGAGGACCGGAGUGGACGAACCUCUGGUGUUCCGGUUGUCACGCCAGUGGCAUUGCCGGGUAGCUAUGUUCGGAAAAGAUAACCGCUGAAAGCAUCUAAGCGGGAAACUUGCCUCAAGAUGAGAUCUCACUGGGAACUUGAUUCCCCUGAAGGGCCGUCGAAGACUACGACGUUGAUAGGCUGGGUGUGUAAGCGUUGUGAGGCGUUGAGCUAACCAGUACUAAUUGCCCGUGAGGCUUGACCAU
rnacentral:rRNA from 1 species